AAUUUCAGAAUGGUAGUCAAGUCAGCUUUCCUUACGAGACAGAAAGAAAGAUUCCUGGAAUUGUGUUCAUGUAUUGUGGAGAAAACAAAUGAGACCAUGAGGUAAUGGAAGCAUAUCCAAAUAAUGGCUGCACAAAAAGAAGCAGAAGACAAGUCCGGGCACUAUUUCAACUGGAAGGGAAGGAAGAAGCUAAAGGACUGGAGAGUUUCCCUCUAAAUUACGCUUUAAAUAUGCUUGAAAUUGUUUUAAUGUUUAACUUAAGAUAAUUGUUUAAUUGGUUUGUCUUAAUUUGUGUACCAAUUGGUUAUUUUCAUAUAUUUUCCAUCUGUUUCUAUUUGUUGUAAGCUAAUUUGGAUACUGUGUUGGGAGAAAAGACAGGAUAUUAACUAACUACAUAACUAAUUAACAUCUGGAGAGCUAUCCAUUUCCCAUCCUAAUAUGUUUCAAGGAUUGUCCAGUCCAAGUCUAGUUUGAAGAAAAAGAAGCACAAGAAGGGAGAGCAAGAAGGGAACUUGAUUGGAACCUGGUUAUCAUCAGCCUACACCUGGACAUCAGAUUGACUAAACACAGGUCUGGUCACAAUUCUCACUACCAUCUUGAGAUGUAGUUUAUUUCUAUAAACAUUCUAAUUACAGUGUUCCCUCACUUAUCGUGGGGUUAGGUUCCAGGACCACCGGCAAUAAGUGAAAAUCCGCAAAGUAGGGACACUAUAUUUAUUUUAAUCUUUAUACAUUAUUUUAGUAGUUAUACACUAUUUUAAGUCUUUAUCAACCAGUCAUGUUUUGAUAAAUCACCUUCUCCACCUCCCGUUGCCGCUUGGUCUCCUUUUCUCUCCCUUUAGCUUCUUCCUCCUCCCUUCCUUAGGAUGUAAAUUGUAAUUUUUUAUGAUUUAUAAUAGUCUUUUAUAGUUUAUUGAAAAACCGCGAAACAGCGAAUCCGCAAAAAGUGAACCGCCAAGUAGUGAGGGAACACUGUAUAUUUAAACUUGUAUCCGUACCGAUAAAAAAAGCAUAUGAACAUUUGUUGCCUCUUCCUCUGUUUUCUUCUUUUGGUAAUGUGCAAGUGGCCACACUGGUUGAAAGUGAAGUCUAUGGGGCAGAGCAAAGACUAGCCAGAUACCCAAGGUUUGGAAUAUAUAUGCUUGCAUCAGUCAACUUGAGACUUAUAACUCUUUUUUAACUAGCUCUCCUACCCUGUGUUUACACGGGGUAAAUAUAACAUAUUCCCCUCAAAUUCAUUGCAAGUGGUCUACAUGUCAUACAAUUUGUUUAAGCACAAAAGCACAGCUUCCAGGCAUUAAUCUCACAAGAAGCUUUCAGGUGGAACUCACUCCCGAGGGAGAUUAGACAGG